rfam:Triticum aestivum genome assembly, contig: Triticum_aestivum_CS42_TGACv1_scaffold_603739_7DL
GGUUCAAGUGAUGAUGAGAAACUGCAACAAUAUGACAGGAGUUACACUCUUGUGAUUCAUAGUUUAAAGUCUGAUGAUU